GGAUGUGAGGGCGAUCUGGCUGCGACAUCUGUCACCCCAUUGAUCGCCAGGGUUGAUUCGGCUGAUCUGGCUGGCUAGGCGGGUGUCCCCUUCCUCCCUCACCGCUCCAUGUGCGUCCCUCCCGAAGCUGCGCGCUCGUUCGAAGAGGACGACCUUCCCCGAAUAGAGGAGGACCGGUCUUCGGUCAAGGGUAUACGAGUAGCUGCGCUCCCCUGCUAGAACCUCCAAUCCUGCUGAAGCUAUUGGAAUUCCUUUUCAAAAAGCCCUUGUCUGUGCCUAUAACUUGAAGUGUUUUG
rfam:Rattus norvegicus chromosome 3, whole genome shotgun sequence.